rnacentral:rRNA from 1 species
UACGGAGGGCGCAAGCGUUGUUCGGAAUUACUGGGCGUAAAGCGCGUGUAGGCGGCCAGGUAAGUCGGAUGUGAAAGCCCGGGGCCUAACCCCGGAACUGCACCCGAUACUGCCUGGCUGGAGUCCCGGAGAGGAUGGCGGAAUUUCCGGUGUAGAGGUGAAAUGCGUAGAGAUCGGCAGGAACACCCAAGGGGAAGCCAGCCGACUGGCCCGGUCCUGACACUCAGGGACGACAGCGUGGGGAGCGAACCGG